UACACAUUCAUUCACUCAUUCAUUAGACUAUUAGUUCAUCCCUGCUAUAGGGCAGGUAAUGGAGAGAGUACUGGGUGCACAAACCCGACCACCUGGAGUUCCUGCAUUAUAGGAACUUCUAUGCUAGUGAAAUGAUAGACGCAUUGUUAGGCAGUUUGAAUUCCGAGCAGUAAGUCAAUGGGAGCAAGCACAGAGGAAACCUAACCCAAGCAGGUAAGGAAUCAGGGAGGUCUGCAGAGUACUAAGGGAGAGUGAGCAGGAGAAGAGCUGAGGAAGUGAGGAGGCAGGUCUGCUAAGGAGAAACACGAGUAAAGGGGCUGCUUUUCUGCUUUUACACCAGGUGAUCUUCGUGUGGCUUCAUCUAUCACCCACAGGAGAGAGUUCCCCAGAGUCAUUCCACGCUGUUGACGGAGGACUUGGUGCCAGUGAAACUGGGAAAUGGAAGCCUUCAGCUUGUUCCUCCUGUGUUAGGAUGUUCUCAAGCACCUGGAUGAAGAGCAAGAAGUGCCAUGAACUUUUCAGCUGGCUCGUUGGGAUGACACCUUCAUGAUGCCUACUAUCACAGUCUGACUUAACCUUCCUCGUGGACUUCUGUCGUGAGAAAUUACCUGGACUAAGUUUCUUCAUUUGGAGCAAUCAUAAC
rnacentral:lncRNA from 1 species